rnacentral:tRNA from 1 species
GCCGGGAUAGCUCAGCUGGGAGAGCAACAGACUGAAGCCCCUGGGGACGAUUUCUGGAGGUCGCGUGUUCAAUCCACGCUCCUGGCA